rnacentral:misc_RNA from 1 species
CUCGCCCCUGUGCCCCGAGAUCUCGCAUCCGCUCCAUCUAUGGAAGGCCACCACGUGUCGUGGAUCGCCGCUCUCUACCGCCACCUCAAUGGAAGGUUCGCCGCUCUCUACGCGGAUCUGCCACCUCCUUUUCGGCUGCCGCCAAUGGAAGGUCCCAGAUCUCCUCUCCCAUUACUCCUCUCCCCAUUACCGCGCUCGAGGUCCACCAUUUUUGGAGGUCCGCCACCUCCGCCUUGGCCUGCCGUCAAUGGAAGGUCCCAGAUCUCCUCUCCCCAUUACUCCUCUCCCCAUUACAGCGCUCGAGUCAGUGGGAGUUCCGCCAUUUUUGGAAGGUCCACCACCUCCUCCUCGGCCCGCGGCAAAAAUGGCGUGGGAGAUCCGCCACCUCACCUCCUCCAAUUCUCGCGCUCGCGCCUGAUAUGGAAGGUCCAUCGGAGGGACUCGGGCGUCGAGGCCAUGGCGGAGCCGCACCCCUUCUCCCCCCUGCCUCGCGCGCG